CCCCAACACACGCAAUGUAUCUGGUCUCUGCUGCUUUGUGUUUGUGUUACAUAACAGAGUUCCUCUGAACUUCUAAAAUCCAGCUGCAUCAUGGGAGAUCUUUGCUUGAGGUGAGUCGGUCAAAAAUCACGCAGGAUGGCGAUCCGAGGAUCUCCAUUUCACCUGUUUCAUCCUCUGGACUCCGAACAUAGAUAUAUAGAACAUAGAAAACUAUCAGGCUAACCUACAGUAGACUCUGGACAGAGAUUGUGAAGUCUGAGUGUCAUGGUGCUCCUUCGAUUGGACCCAGCUGUUGGACAUCACCUCAUCACCGGUUCACAUCUUAAGGAAGGCCUGCUCCAGUAUUCAUCGCCAGUUCGUUACCUCACCUGGUCCAUCCUUCCCCUGCCAACCUGGGUCCGUCGCCUCCGAUCGUCUCUGCCCGCCACACUCCAUCAGUCAGCCUCACUGCUUGGAUCAUCGCCCCGCCAUUCCCGAUCUACUCUUCAGCUCCUCAAUAACCACGGA